rnacentral:misc_RNA from 1 species
CAGCGAUAUGCAAAGGAUCGAAGCCUGAUCUAUUCUUCCUUGCAAUGCACUCUCUACUUGAAUAUUUUAACAACUCCUUUACCACCUCAAGAUGCCCUUUAUCUGCAGCAGUAAACAGUGCUGUCUCCCCCAACUCAUUCACCUCAUUCACUACUGAUGCCCUUAUUUCAGCAACCUCUGUAUCAAAAUCCUCCCCACUCAAAGUCCCCACCAGUUGUGAAUCAAUAUCAUUAAGAAUCUGCUUUACAGCUGCCAAAUCACC